CAGGGACUGGAACACAGUGGUAACGCUCUUCUCCCAGGAUCACCCAUCUUUCAGUCUAGACCCAGCAGGACACGGUGCCAGUGACUGAGAAGGCUAAGUACUUGAAAAGGCAGCAGCUUUGGGCAGAGCCAUGAGCUACCAGAUCCUGAUACUCCUGGCCAUGCUGACCCUGGGCCUGGCUAUCUCUCAGCGCCGAGACCAAGUGCCCUGUAGGACGGUGAACAAGGAGGCCUUGUGCCACGGCCUCAGCCUGCUUCAGGUCCCCUCGGUGCUCUCAUUGGACAUCCAAGCUCUCUACUUGUCCGGGAACCGGCUGCAGAGCAUCCUGGUCUCCCCGUUGAGCUUCUAUACAGCACUUCGCCACCUGGAU
rnacentral:lncRNA from 1 species